GCACUUCCCAGAGCUCGACCUGAGAAUGCAAGACUUCUAGGGGGUGAUCGUUCAGGAAAAAAAAAAUCAAACGGCUCCGGAUCAUGGCAUGGAUCAGGUUGAGACCUUCAUUUUCUUUGAACCUUUGAACAGUCGUCAGUUCAGCUUCAGCUAGGGAGUUCCUGGGACCCUAUGGGAUGAUGUGUAUGAAACGUUAAAAUAGAGGUCUAGUCCGCCUCGCCUCGCCUGUUGCAAAUCUUAACUAGCAAGGGAAG